CAUUUUAGGACCUAACGUCAACAUCUUUGACGUGUCUCCUAUUUUUAGGGACUAGUGUUCUUUUCUGACGUGUGUAAAGACC
rfam:Populus trichocarpa scaffold_16_contig_70, whole genome shotgun sequence.